UACGUAGGGCGCAAGCGUUAUCCGGAAUUAUUGGGCGUAAAGAGCUCGUAGGCGGUUUGUCGCGUCUGCCGUGAAAGUCCGGGGCUCAACUCCGGAUCUGCGGUGGGUACGGGCAGACUAGAGUGAUGUAGGGGGAGACUGGAAUUCCUGGUGUAGCGGUGAAAUGCGCAGAUAUCAGGAGGAACACCGGUGGCGAAGGCGGGUCUCUGGGCCGAUACUGACGCUGAGGAGCGAAAGCGUGGGGGAGCGAACAGG
rnacentral:rRNA from 1 species